rnacentral:rRNA from 1 species
UAAGGGCGCACGGUGGAUGCCUUGGCACUAGAAGCCGAUGAAGGACGUUACUAACGACGAUAUGCUUUGGGGAGCUGUAAGUAAGCUUUGAUCCAGAGAUUUCCGAAUGGGGAAACCCAGCAUGAGUUAUGUCAUGUUAUCGAUAUGUGAAUACAUAGCAUAUCAGAAGGCACACCCGGAGAACUGAAACAUCUUAGUACCCGGAGGAAGAGAAAGAAAAUUCGAUUCCCUUAGUAGCGGCGAGCGAAACGGGAAGAGCCCAAACCAACAAGCUUGCUUGUUGGGGUUGUAGGACACUCUAUACGGAGUUACAAAGGACGACAUUAGACGAAUCAUCUGGAAAGAUGAAUCAAAGAAGGUAAUAAUCCUGUAGUCGAAAAUGUUGUCUCUCUUGAGUGGAUCCUGAGUACGACGGAGCACGUGAAAUUCCGUCGGAAUCUGGGAGGACCAUCUCCUAAGGCUAAAUACUCUCUAGUGACCGAUAGUGAACCAGUACCGUGAGGGAAAGGUGAAAAGCACCCCGGAAGGGGAGUGAAAUAGAACCUGAAACCGUGUGCUUACAAGUAGUCAGAGCCCGUUAAUGGGUGAUGGCGUGCCUUUUGUAGAAUGAACCGGCGAGUUACGAUUUGAUGCAAGGUUAAGCAGUAAAUGUGGAGCCGUAGCGAAAGCGAGUCUGAAUAGGGCGUUUAGUAUUUGGUCGUAGACCCGAAACCAGGUGAUCUACCCUUGGUCAGGUUGAAGUUCAGGUAACACUGAAUGGAGGACCGAACCGACUUACGUUGAAAAGUGAGCGGAUGAACUGAGGGUAGCGGAGAAAUUCCAAUCGAACCUGGAGAUAGCUGGUUCUCUCCGAAAUAGCUUUAGGGCUAGCCUCAAGUGAUGAUUAUUGGAGGUAGAGCACUGUUUGGACGAGGGGCCCCUCUCGGGUUACCGAAUUCAGACAAACUCCGAAUGCCAAUUAAUUUAACUUGGGAGUCAGAACAUGGGUGAUAAGGUCCGUGUUCGAAAGGGAAACAGCCCAGACCACCAGCUAAGGUCCCAAAAUAUAUGUUAAGUGGAAAAGGAUGUGGCGUUGCCCAGACAACUAGGAUGUUGGCUUAGAAGCAGCCAUCAUUUAAAGAGUGCGUAAUAGCUCACUAGUCGAGUGACACUGCGCCGAAAAUGUACCGGGGCUAAACAUAUUACCGAAGCUGUGGAUUGUCCUUUGGACAAUGGUAGGAGAGCGUUCUAAGGGCGUUGAAGCAUGAUCGUAAGGACAUGUGGAGCGCUUAGAAGUGAGAAUGCCGGUGUGAGUAGCGAAAGACGGGUGAGAAUCCCGUCCACCGAUUGACUAAGGUUUCCAGAGGAAGGCUCGUCCGCUCUGGGUUAGUCGGGUCCUAAGCUGAGGCCGACAGGCGUAGGCGAUGGAUAACAGGUUGAUAUUCCUGUACCACCUAUAAUCGUUUUAAUCGAUGGGGGGACGCAGUAGGAUAGGCGAAGCGUGCGAUUGGAUUGCACGUCUAAGCAGUAAGGCUGAGUAUUAGGCAAAUCCGGUACUCAUUAAGGCUGAGCUGUGAUGGGGAGAAGACAUUGUGUCUUCGAGUCGUUGAUUUCACACUGCCGAGAAAAGCCUCUAGAUAGAAAAUAGGUGCCCGUACCGCAAACCGACACAGGUAGUCAAGAUGAGAAUUCUAAGGUGAGCGAGCGAACUCUCGUUAAGGAACUCGGCAAAAUGACCCCGUAACUUCGGGAGAAGGGGUGCUCUUUAGGGUUAACGCCCAGAAGAGCCGCAGUGAAUAGGCCCAAGCGACUGUUUAUCAAAAACACAGGUCUCUGCUAAACCGUAAGGUGAUGUAUAGGGGCUGACGCCUGCCCGGUGCUGGAAGGUUAAGAGGAGUGGUUAGCUUCUGCGAAGCUACGAAUCGAAGCCCCAGUAAACGGCGGCCGUAACUAUAACGGUCCUAAGGUAGCGAAAUUCCUUGUCGGGUAAGUUCCGACCCGCACGAAAGGCGUAACGAUUUGGGCACUGUCUCAACGAGAGACUCGGUGAAAUCAUAGUACCUGUGAAGAUGCAGGUUACCCGCGACAGGACGGAAAGACCCCGUGGAGCUUUACUGUAGCCUGAUAUUGAAAUUCGGCACAGCUUGUACAGGAUAGGUAGGAGCCUUUGAAACGUGAGCGCUAGCUUACGUGGAGGCGCUGGUGG